GUAACGUCGAACAUCUAACCUGUCUGAGCGUUGGAGGAAAGCCCUGGAAACUUCGACACUUCGGACGUAUAGUGAAGUGUGUCGUGCUCUUUAUAAAAGAGGGUAAAGUGUGUCGAUAAAUAUGACGCGUGGAAAUCAGCGCGAACUUGCCCGCCAGAAAAACAUGAAGAAAAAUCAAGAAAACCAGAAGGGGAAAAGAAAGGACGACAGUUUAUCGGCAGCCCAAAGGAAACAGCGUGAUGCCGAAAUAAUGCAGCUGAAGCAAAAAGCGGCGAACGAGAAGAAAAGCACAAACAGUGGAACGAAGUGACGGGGUGGGGAAGAGAUGAAAACGGGACGAAAAUCCAAACCACUCCAUCAUUGUUUUUCCUCGAGUGUUUUCUAUUCCCAUGUCAACCCUGAUCAUUUUGUGAUCCAGACACGUUCUGAGGGAAUGACUGGUGCUCUCAUGCUUCCUUGAAAUCACAGUAAAUUGUGGUAACCUGUUUUAUGUAAAAAAAAAAAAAAAAAAGUCCACAUUUCUGGGCCAUGUACAUUGUACUUUGCAUUAAAUUAUUUUUACAGUACUGUUUUACUCGCCUUUGUCCACGUGAAAGUGUCCACUGUGGAGUGUAUGGUAUUCAAUAUCCAACAGUGUAAUGACUGUAAGAUAAAUUAUCACUUGUUAAGGAGUCACGAAACCUAACUUUCUAAGAAAAGCAGACACUGUGUAGGAGCUUUGGCUACUUAGCUACUUUGACAGCUGCAUCUUGGUAAUAGAAAUGCACUGUUACUUGAGGGGAGGCAGUCUGUGAGUGAAAGGAGGGUUUCCUUCCUAAAGUUGUUGCAGUCCAGAACUGUACUGUUGCACUAUGCAUUAUAAAACAAGUAAAAUUACAGACAACCCUGUGUGCAUUCCUGUUAUUGUGCAGAUGAUACUUUAUGUGCUGAUGUAGGUUCAUGCGCCACCUACAGGGACCUGUACACUGACAGGGCCACUCAAAUGGCCAAAACAGUUGACUGUUUUUAGCCACUGCUAAUUGGAUAGGUGUGUCUUGUUAGACAGUGUCUGGCUUCCUUCAUCUGCUUCCUUCAUACAUAUAACAUUACACAGCCGUGAAGAUGGAAUACAGAUCUGCUAUGAUUAAUCUGGUUAGUAAGAAUGAAGGAUCCUCAGAAUUAAAGGCACUUACAUUCAUUUGUUACCACUCACUUUGAGAUAAAUAUGUUACUAAAUACAUGAGCAUAUUUUAAGAGCACAUUUCUACUUUCCAGAAUAGAUGAAGGCUUACCCAUCACAUGGAGUAUUAAGCAACA